rnacentral:rRNA from 1 species
UACGUAGGUGGCAAGCGUUGUCCGGAUUUAUUGGGUUUAAAGGGUGCGUAGGCGGUUAUAUAAGUCAGUGCUGAAAUAUCCCGGCUUAACCGGGAGGGUGGCAUUGAUACUGUAUGACUUGAGUAAAGUUGAGGUUGGCGGAAUUGACGGUGUAGCGGUGAAAUGCUUAGAUAUCGUCAAGAACACCGAUAGUGAAGACAGCUAACUAAGCUUUAACUGACGCUGAGGCACGAAAGUGUGGGGAUCAAACAGG